rnacentral:rRNA from 1 species
UGGCGGCGUGCUUCAAACAUGCAAGUCGAACGGAGUUAAUUUUGUAAGCUUGCUUUAGAAUUAACUUAGUGGCGGACUGGUGAGUAACGCGUGAGUAAUCUGCCUAUCACAGGGGGAUAACAGAGGGAAACUUCUGCUAAUACCGCAUAAGACCACAGGAUGGCAUCAUCAAGGGGUCAAAGGUUUAGAUCUGGUGAUAGAUGAGCUUGCGUAUCAUUAGCUAGUUGGUGAGGGUAAAGGCCCACCAAGGCGACGAUGAUUAGCCGAUCUGAGAGGAUGACCGGCCACACUGGGACUGAGAUACGGCCCAGACUCCUACGGGAGGCAGCAGUUAGGAAUAUUGGGCAAUGGAGGAAACUCUGACCCAGCAACGCCGCGUGAAGGAAGAAGGCUUUCGGGUUGUAAACUUCUUUUAUCAGGGACGAAGCAAGUGACGGUACCUGAUGAAUAAGCCACGGCUAACUACGUGCCAGCAGCCGCGGUAA